UGGGGAAUUUUGGACAAUGGGCGCAAGCCUGAUCCAGCCAUGCCGCGUGUCUGAAGAAGGCCUUCGGAUUGUAAAGGACUUUUGUCAGGGAAGAAAAGGCUGUCGCUAAUACCGACAGCUGAUGACGGUACCUGAAGAAUAAGCACCGGCUAACUACGUGCCAGCAGCCGCGGUAAUACGUAGGGUGCGAGCGUUAAUCGGAAUUACUGGGCGUAAAGCGAGCGCAGACGGUUACUUAAGCAGGAUGUGAAAUCCCCGGGCUCAACCUGGGAACUGCGUUCUGAACUGGGUGACUAGAGUGUGUCAGAGGGAGGUAGAAUUCCACGUGUAGCAGUGAAAUGCGUAGAGAUGUGGAGGAAUACCGAUGGCGAAGGCAGCCUCCUGGGAUAACACUGACGUUCAUGCUCGAAAGCGUGGGUAGCAAACAGGAUUAGAUACCCUGGUAGUCCACGCCCUAAACGAUGUCAAUUAGCUGUUGGGCAACUUGAUUGCUUAGUAGCGUAGCUAACGCGUGAAAUUGACCGCCUGGGGAGUACGGUCGCAAGAUUA
rnacentral:rRNA from 1 species